GGCUCAUCCAGAGGGGCAGAGGGAACGGCCCGUUGAAGCCCCGGCAACCGGCGUCGCACGACGAUCCGCCCGAGCCGCGCACCCGCGUGGCGAGGACGUCGACGAACACGGUGCCAAUUCCGCCCGCCGCUUCCGGCGGGACAGAUGAGGA
rnacentral:ncRNA from 2 species